CUAGCAGUAGCAGCUUCUCCUCCAAUGGCCACCGCUGCAGCCAUCCCCACCACCACCGUGCAAGCCCUAGAAAAUGACAUGGCUACUGACGGCGCCGUCCCUCUCCCCGCCGUCAUGAAAGCACCGAUCCGUCCCGACGUUGUCACCUAUGUCCACUCGAACAUUUCCAAAAACGCCCGUCAACCUUAUGCCGUAUCAAAAAAAGCCGGCCACCAGACCUCAGCCGAGUCAUGGGGUACCGGACGUGCUGUGUCACGUAUUCCCCGUGUUCCCGGUGGUGGUACCCACC
rnacentral:lncRNA from 1 species